rnacentral:lncRNA from 1 species
UUGAGAUGAAAUAAGAGAGCAAAUGCAAGAUAAAUAAAUUUUGUGUACAAGAAAUGUAAAGAAUAUGUAAAAUUGAACUAAAAGACAUUUAAAGUUUGAUUUUUGGUUGUUCAUGGUUAUCGGUGAUAUUUAUAACAGUGACAUUUUCAUAAUUAAAUGAAGAUGGUGAGGAUGUUUGAUGUCAUGUACGAGAAAAAUAUAAUGACAUUCUCAAGAAUAAAGUUUAAUACUAGGAUGAAAAUUUCAAAAAUAAAAUAAAAAGAAGUUCACUAAUUUGUGUUUGACGAGAAGUUGUUGUAAGUCAUUCUUGAAAAUACCCUUUUAAAAUUUAAUAAAGCAUCAACAGAAAUUUAUGUUUUCCAAAUUAAUAAUAUCUUUACAAGUUUUAUAAGUUUUUAAAAGUUAUAUCAGUAUAUAUUUAAAUUGACAACAAUA